UACGUAGGGGGCUAGCGUUGUCCGGAAUUAUUGGGCGUAAAGAGCUCGUAGGCGGUUUGUUGCGUCGGCUGUGAAAUCCCGAGGCUCAACCUCGGGUCUGCAGUCGAUACGAGCAAACUAGAGUGUUGCAGGGGAGACUGGAAUUCCUGGUGUAGCGGUGAAAUGCGCAGAUAUCAGGAGGAACACCGGUGGCGAAGGCGGGUCUCUGGGAAGUAACUGACGCUGAGAAGCGAAAGCGUGGGUAGCGAACAGG
rnacentral:rRNA from 1 species